rnacentral:rRNA from 1 species
CCUACGGUGAGCAGCAGUGAGGAAUAUUGGUCAAUGGACGCAAGUCUGAACCAGCCAUGCCGCGUGCAGGAAGACGGCUCUAUGAGUUGUAAACUGCUUAUGUACGAGGGUAAACGCAGAUACGCGUAUCUGUCUGCAAGUAUCGUACGAAUAAGGAUCGGCUAACUCCGUGCCAGCAGCCGCGGUACUACGGGGGAUGCGCGCGUUAUCCGGAUUUAGUGGGUUUAAAGGGUGCGCAGGCGGCCUGUUAAGUCCGCGGUAACAGCCCGGGGCUCAACCCCGGCGAGCCGUUGACACUGGCGGGCUGGAGGUGGAGAGAAGGACGCGGAAUGCGCGGUGUAGCGGUGAAAGGCUUAGAUAUCGCGCAGAACCCCGAUUGCGAAGGCAGCGUACCGGCUCCACACUGACGCUGAGGCACGAAAGCGUGGGUAUCGAACAGGAUUAGAUACCCCUGUAGUC